UUCUUUGUCAGCAUGGGCUAGACGGUCCUAGAUUCUGCUAGGUUGGAAGUCUAGGCACAAGGCUGGAAUCUAAUACUCUCCAAGUUGCCUUUUCACCAGCUCUGCUUUUCCCUGUGAAAUUUCCAGUACCAUUCCUGCACGUUUGUUCGGGUUAUGUUUUGUCAAUUGGACAGGAGCUAGAACCUAGAAGAAGAGAUCUCAAUUGAAAACAGAAGAUUAUUCUGUACAUUACCUGAUGAUUUGUUUGUAGUGGUCCAGUCCACUCUGUAUAGUGCCUUAUCUGAGCAGGUUCUGCCUUCAGAUUUUCACUUGCGUUCCGGCCCUGAAAAACCUUCCUGAUGAACUGGCGACUUGAAAUAUGUCAUCCCUAGAUCUCCUGGAUUUGUAAGUUCCUAUUGACAAAUCCAUCAUUAUUUUGAUGGGUCUUACAUUAUGUGUAAGUCAAAUAAAC